GGAAAGCCAGGAAUCCAGGCCCUUGAGGGUGGCUUCCGUGCCUGCAGAUGUCUGUGAAUUCCUCAAGGCUGAGACCCUGCAGCCAAAGAAGCUACCCACGUGGGCUGCUCAGCUCAAACACUCAC
rnacentral:precursor_RNA from 8 species